AACGAACGCUGGCGGCGUGGAUAAGACAUGCAAGUCGAACGGGAUUAUUUUUGUAGCAAUACAGAAAUAAUUCAGUGGCGAACGGGUGCGUAACACGUGGGCAAUCUGCCGAAAAGUGGGGGAUAGCUCGCCGAAAGGCGAAUUAAUACCGCAUGUGGUGAGGGACGACAUCUUCCUGAAUCCAAAGCCGGGGCAACCUGGCGCUUUUUGAGGAGCCCGCGGCCUAUCAGCUUGUUGGCGGGGUAACGGCCCACCAAGGCUAUGACGGGUAGCUGGUCUGAGAGGACGACCAGUCACACUGGAACUGAGACACGGUCCAGACACCUACGGGUGGCAGCAGUCGAGAAUUUUUCUCAAUGGGCGAAAGCCUGAAGGAGCGACGCCGCGUGGAGGAUGAAGGCUUUCGGGUUGUAAACUCCUGUCAUUUGAGAACAAGGUGCGAGUAUUAACUGUGUUCGCAUUGAUAGUAUCAGAAGAGGAAGGGACGGCUAACUCUGUGCCAGCCGCCGCCGUAAUAC
rnacentral:rRNA from 1 species